CAGGUUUUUAAAGUUUUGCUAAGGUGUUGUGGGCCCACUCUUCUGGUUUAAAUAUACUGACAAUUUAAACAAUAGCUUCCAUUCCUAUCUGGUUUUGUAGCAGCCAGCUGAUUACCUAUUGUUUGCACACUACCCUAUAAAUACCACUCCCCACCCAACCUCAGUUUCAUUUGCUAGGACAAAGGGCUUGAAAUAUCAGUGAAUCUACUCUGUUUCACAGAGGUGUACAGCAGAUGUUUCAACCUUGUGUUAAUUUAUAUCUUGUCUACACCUAGCCUACACAGACCUCCUAGUUAUAAUAGCGGAGCCAGCGCGGCCGUAGGCCAUGCGCGGAGCCCCAUAGGUAUAGAAAUGGUCUAUAACUAGGCGAAUCAGUUUUUGUGGUCAAUGACGUCAUUGUCACAAGCUGCCAUCCAUCCAGCCAGCCAGCCGCGAUCUGCCUCGGCACAGGCCUCAGAGCGAGCAAAACAAUAUGGCAGAUGUGUAUUUCUGCCCCUCUCAAAAACACACGAAAACUGACUGCAGAAAAGCCAAGAAUUGACGAAAAAGAAGUGCUUGAAAACAAUCAUUCGUGGGAAUGCUAACCACCGAUAUGAACUUGUCUAAUUAUGUGCAAAAGACUGUGAAAAAGCAUGGUUGAAAGUUUUGAAGAGUCAAGUCUUGUGCUCGAGUCAAGGUCAGCUGAAAUGUCAGAGUUAGCCACAAGAUAAAGAAAGAAAAAACAAGCAAAUUUUAUAGACACAUUCUCCGACAAGUGCUCCUAUGUAUUUGUUUUUGCACUGGCAGACGUAGGUUAAUCUCAGCCAGAGAUUCUGAAAUCAAGCUGAGACACAAGCUGCUGGCUAAUAGGCAUGACCCAGGGCAGGAUGUACAUAUAAGGCAUUGGUAUUUAAUGUAGGUCACCAAAAAUAAACACAUAUAAAGUAACAAAAAGUAAGAUAAUAUUUUAAUGGAAAAAUUGUUCUAAAAAACGAACCAGGGUUAUAAAAGUAAAAAACCUAGUUUUUUUCCAAGUUAGCCUGACAGGUUCUUGUAUGAUGUGUGGUUAGUGACAUUUAGGCUAUUUAGGUUCAUAAAUAGUCUCUUGCUAUUACAAUGACUCAUGGUAAAGUAAUUGAGGUAGUAAGUUAAUCAUAA